CUCCGGGUGUUCUCUGUUUUUGCAAUUAGAAACUACCCAGAGAAGGAAUUAAAGCCCAGCAGAAGUUUGAAAACGCCUUUCUGUCCUCGAUCUGAAACCGAAUUUUGAGCAAGGGUGGGGGGGAGAAAAAAAGAAGCGUUUGGUUUCGGUGCGUGUGUUGUAUUGAAAUCAUCAGGAACUUGGUCACAAACUUGAACAGAGGCAGCAAGAGGCUCCUUAUAACUGCGAACAAGAAAACGAUCCUUCCCAGCUACCAAAAUCAAGCAGGGUUUGUAAUUUCUACAUUGCAUUUUCAACCGUUCUACUUCAAAGAGCUCAAAGGUACAGCUCACUGGCCUGUCCAUCAGGCUAAACCCACCGAGUGGGAACGAGUUACACCACUGGAGAAUGCGGUCAUUCGGGAGAUUUUCUUUUCCUUCUUCCUUCAUGUAGAAAAUUAUGUUUUGAGGAAACUGGGGAGCUGCAAGGAAGCGACAGUCAGUAACUGGUGAGACAAACUUGACAAAGAGGAAGCAGUUGCUACAUCUGGGGAAAUACCACGGAUGCUCAGAUCACAGAUGCAUUUGAAAACCCUCCCGUUCAAAACCUUUGUUCCAGUUCUCAGAAAGCCCCAGAAAGGGCAAUGAGCUUCCCAGCAUUUCCAGUUCUGGCACUACUCUGCACUAACCUUCGAAGAUUUCAGUGAGCAUGGCUGGAUCGUGAUUUCACAUCCUGUUUUGUCUCUAAGCGUUCGCCUGUUGUGAGACAGCAGAACAGCACCUGAAACCGCAACCAUUACACUGUCUGAGGAGCUACCACUGCAUCAGAACCUGCACAGAGGUGGGCAGGGAGCACAAAAUCCUCCAAACCAGGAACCAGCAGCUGUAAAAACUGCAGCAGUGCCCUCUAGCGCUUAUGCGAUGGUGCAAAGUUCUUAAUUGAAGUUUUUAAUUAAAGGUGAACGUUUAAACCAAGCUCAGUAGCACAACUUACACAGCCUGCAACAGCAGCCUGGCCAGAUGGACACAACUCACCUUUGGGUCUUUUGCAGACAGUUCCCUGCAAGCAGUUUUUAGGAACACACCAAAGCUUGGCUUUGCUGUUCCGUUACACAUCAGCUGCAAAGAUGGAGAGUACAGAAGAAAUAGUAUUUCCUCACCAUACUUCAUAUCUAUAAAUGAACAUAGAAGGUUCAGGCAAACAGCAUGUUUUGCCACGGCAUCUAAAAGAGAGAAGGAUGCACCAAGAGUUUGUAUUGUAGGUUUUGCAAAAGAGUGUUGUCUGUAAGAGUUUUCCCUGACAACAGCAGGUGUAUAUCCCCAAACACUGUGAAAUACAAGUCCAGUUACAAGGUCCCAGGCUAAACUGGGCAGCAGCACCAGUUGGCACUAGAAGCUGCAGCCUGGGACAGACUCAGCACCCGGAUCCACUGGACUUCAGGUGCUUUUCAUGCUGAUCACGGGAAGACAUCCUGCAAAAGUUUGUGUGAAGGCAAAUAGAUCAGUUAUAUUAAUUUGCAAGAUCAUACCCCAAUAUAUUCUGUGCGAGCAUAAGUGUGUCAGUACACGGGUCCCUAUAGGAGUAGUUCACCUCACCAAGUGACUCAGAGUUGAGAGCAUCAUGUUACUCAUAUCCAAACUGCUGUUUUCUUCACAUUUUAAACACAUUCUGCUAACAUGGUCAAUUACAUGAUAUUAAUUCAUAAGAGCACAAUAUUUUUUGUAGAUAGGAGUUUAAGGGGUUUUUUUAAGGCUUUUUUUUUGUGAAUAGAAGUUCAAGUUUUAGCUCUAGCCAUUCUGAAAAGGGCAGGGUACAAAGUAGAAUCACUUGCAGACUGUUUCACCAAUGGAUCCUAAAUAGCACUGGACUAGAAUACAAGUUGCUGGCUUUGUGACAUGGAAAAGCGGGGAGAGGAGAGGAGAGGAAGGAAAGAUCCCAGUAACUCUCAGAUGUGAUGCAGCUGCCCUGUUAUGUAACUUCUCAAAGAGCCCAGACCAUUAUUUUAUGGUCUGGUCUUCCUCCACAGAGCUGAAUUUCCCUCCUGCAAAGCAUUAAAGCCUCUCAAACAAUACCAAGCAAAACAGGACUAUCAUCUGAGCAGGAGGAACAGGCUCAUAAAUCCACUUGGUAUGAUUGCAGAGGAUGUCCUGUGAAGAACUCAGCCAAACACAACUCCUAAAAUUAUCUCUCUCUACUAGAAUAAACUGUAAAAUUAAGAAUAUUUGUGAUUUAUCUGGCUUACAGCCUAACGUAUUACGGUUGACAUUUCCUCCAACAGCACGAGAACGUCACGCUAAUCCCACCCUGAUGCUGUUGCCAUCUUUGCUGCUCACUCAUGUGAUUCCGCAUGGUGGAAAGCGAUGGCAACUGCCCAGACUCAUCAGCACGAGCGGAUGCGGGACAGGAAGAGCGAAGGCACGGGAAUAUUUUCCUCGUGGAACACGGGAGCACGGGCCAGGGAGCCCGUCUGUGCUCCAGUUUUUAGUGGAGAAUGAGAAGUUAGCCCUGUUAACUUGAGCUCUACAACCCAGUGAGGAACUUUCAUGUUUACCAGGAUCAGCGCUGAGGAGGGAAAACUGCCUGGCUCCCAUCCGGCCUUUCUGGUUAAGUUACUCUUGGCGCGUAGAACUGUGACAAGCUUCAAAGAACAAGAAUGAUCCUCUUGCUUGUGAAAGUUUAACCUUCAGCUUUUAUAAGCUGUUCUUUGAAGUCUCUCUGUUAUUGCUCCAUUUCCUGCCACCACGUGUGAUGCUAUCACUUGACUGAAAUAAGACAUGGGAGGAGGGAGACAGAACUGCUCAACUGAAUCAUUUUCUUAAUUUGAUCAUCAAUUUUCGGAACUGUCACUGGCACCAGCCUGGCCAAGGAAUCUCAUUUUCCUCCAUGAACAGCCUGAGCUCUUUGGCCUUCAUUUGCGAUUCAGUAAACCUCAUACCCUGGGCAGUUCUUUCACACGACUUGACUGCACGAACUGGGGACGAGACUCAACAAGCUUUUCAGAACGCAGUGGGUUAAACACACAUCUGAUGAAGUAGGAGAUGAAAUAUAGAAUUGUUCAAUUAAGUGAUGCAGUCAUCCUUGGAAAAGCUCCCAGAUCUCUCACUAGUGCACACUGGUGUCCAUCACUCCCAGAGCUGUCAUUCCUUGAAUACUUAUUGUUCAUUCAAGAGCUCAGAUCCCCACCAGGCAAAGAACAGCAAAGCACGCACAGGGAAAAAAAAUGCAAGAAAACAUAUUCCAAAUAUUUUUGUUUGUUGUAAGGAGAAGACUGAAAUAACCUUCCAUGGAGCAAACUGUAAACUGUACCUAGACCACUUCGUCCACUGUUUAAUGUCCUCUGGGUACUAACGUGGUAUUCUGAGCAGCUUUAGUGAACAAGAGAGCACAGUGCAAAAAACCUUGCGGUUAUAAAGCUUGGGUAACUUUAAAUGUCAGAUGUUGCCAACCACUCACUCUGGAUCUUGUCUUGUUCUUCCCAUUGGAUUAAGCACCAGCUUUGGGGAGCCAAGGAUCAAACCUGGCUAUUCCUAUUGGACCUUAUUUCAGUUUUGUUUAUAAUAUCACAGGAAGUAAAUCACUAAAAACAAUAAGGAGGCAUGGUGAGAAACCAAUGGAAGUUUAGAUAAAUAUAUGCAGUUACAUAUUAUUACAGUAUGACUCACUCUGUCAAGCACCAGCCAGUGUAGCAAAGGAUCUGCUGCUGCCUACUGGCUCUUCACUCAACAGGAAUCCUUAGUUAGCAGAGGAGGCAAAAAAAGAUAAAUUAGAAUCCUAUAGAUCUUAAAGUAUGUUUGCUUUUGUAAACAGCGACUUGGAAUUUAUGUGAUGGUUCUAUCAGAUAUAAUAUCCAUGGUAGCAAUGCUCAUUUCCAGUGCAGAAAGGCGCUUCACCGCUGGAUAGAAUUAGACGUCAGAGUCUGAUCUCUGCACAAAUACCUUGUCAAUCAAAAUAUCUUCAUUAGAAACUCCAGAUCCCACUUCCUACCUAAAGCAGAGGAGGGAGGCUGAAAAGAGCAAGCACUUGGGAUUGAGUUGUGACAGGGGGUGUCAAAAAUGUUAAAGAGAAAUACUGGGGGGGUGGGGGGCGGAGAGAAGUGCAGGGAAUUACUGAAGCUUUUCUAAAGAAGAGCUGGAUUUCAAGUUGCCUAAGAGACCCUGCUCCAGUUCACAGUGGCUGAUUUUAACCUCGCCACCUCUGCCAGCUCAAGUUUUUACAUCAAAAUAAUAGAAAACAAAAGUCCCUAUGAAAGUGAACAUUAAGAAAAACUUGGUUUAUUUGUAAGUCUUUAUGGAAAAACCAGAACAUCUGCAGUGAACUCUGAGGAUGUCUGAAGGAGGGGUGACAUGUACUAGGAACACACUCUGCAGCCAAAUCAGCGCAGGCUUGUCACAUACAUUCCCUUUCCACUGACCAUUCCACUGUGUUUUGUACCACCAGAGGGAGCUGCACUGUUUGUACCGUACAUGCCAUUUUCAUGAGAGGUCGGCAUUUUAUCAUCCUUUUUAAACAGGCUUUUUCCUCCCUUAUCUAUUUAAGCCUGGAAUUACUUAUAUGAGUAUUUUGCAGGGCCUGUGUCCUAAAGGGUGAGUUUUUAGCAGCCAGCUCCCUAAGCAAAGAGAUCACCCAACUUUUAGCCACAUUUUGUGGCUUGUUUUCCCCACGCCUGUGACAUGCUGGGUAUUUUUACAAAUACGCUGUGUUACUAUCCCCUACACGCUUUCCAAAUACUCCUUGGAGACUUUUUUAGUAUGGACAUUUAAAGAAAAAGCUCAGUAAGUUUCAGAAUGAUUCAACUUUGCCUGCCUUGAACAUCCAUUUGGAUGGGCCCAGAGUAUCAUGCUCUGGAACACAAACUCCUCCUCUGGGACCCCACAAUUUGACAAUAGUUGACAAAACCUUUGGAAUCGCCAUGGGAAGCGUGAGCUCAAGCCUUCCUGCUUCCACUGAAUUGAUUUAACCCAUAGAGUAAGCGCUACAUAGAAUGUGAUGAAGUCAACCCAGAUCCAUUUUACUAUAGACAAAGUCACAUAUGAAACAUCCACUGGAAUACAAAUGUACCACGUGAGUGGAAAGAACAGCUUUACCAUUUGGAAUUGGGAAAGAAUAAAUUUGAAUUCCCAAAUUUAAGCAUUUCCAGCCGUGAGCUCUUACCAGUGUUCUGCCGUCCAAAACCCAACGCUCACAGCUACCGACUGCUCCUUAUGUCAUCAUCAUAUUUUCCAUACUCACAGCUUUUAAAACCUUCUCCAUUGAGGCUGAGAACUUCCAUGUUUGGUAUGAAACCAAGCCAUGGCACUGGAAUUCCUCUUGGUUGAUGUGAAAUGAGGGAAAAUCCACUUUUGUUUGGGCCAGAACAAGAGACAAUAAUUUACCCACCAAAAAUACAAACCAAAACCCUCAAGCGGGCCAAUAACAAGCUGUUCAACCAAUUGCCUUUCAACACCUCUUGUUUCAGGAAUUUGCUUCUGUGGGUAUAAAAUCCAUUAAUUUUUUUCUUUGUUCUUACUGAGCACUAAACUGACAACUACUUACCCUUCUCAAUAGCUACAGCGAGGACAGCUAACAAUGACAACAGGUCCUCAAACGGCAACAACACAAGAUGUUCCACCCAAUUCUCUUCCUAUUAAAGGACACAAAAGUUUCAAGUUAAACAUUUUGCUCUGAUUUCCUACUUCAGGUGUCAGACUCUUUAACAUUCCACACGGCAUGUUUGUGAUGUACAUCACAGGAGUCACGCCGGCUGCUUCCGCUGGGAGUUUGAGCUAAGGGAGCUACCAGCAGUUUUUGAUUAAGCUCUAGAGUAGCUCUGGCAAUCCAACCAAGAAACAUCCACCUUCACUGGUUACAAAUGGAGGGAGCGCCAUGCCUGCGGGCACCAGGCUCCACAUACCUGCCGUUCAGUGUUAGCACAUACUGCACAUUCUCACGUACAUUUUCUGAUGCUGCUGGUGACACUUCCAAAUAGUGAAAAUUCGUGAGGGUUUUAGUUCAUCUUCCAGCUGCUUUUAGCUCUAAAACAAAACACACAUCCCUUCACAUGAAAACACCCUUUAACACACUGCAUACUCUGCCCAGUUAGCCCUUAAACAUCCAAACCAUUUAAAAUACCAAACAAUUUGUUUUGGGGCAGCACACACUUCUCUGACGUUUAUUUCAUAACUCGGAUCCUGCCAGAAGACAUUUUGUGGGUUGGACAAUAAGCUGCAAAACAGAUCAGCCAAAACUCAUGUCAAACUGCUUUAUUACAUCUUAAAUAACAUUACAUUUUAAUAUAGUAUCUAUCUUGCAUCCAGCUUUCUUGAAGUACACUGACUUUAAAAUUAAAUACAAAAGGUGAAGAGGGAUACAGGGCGUGGAGAAAGCUCUACAGAGUAGUUUCAUGAGAGAGAGUAAGAGGGAAUUCAUCUUUUAUGCCAAAUCCAGGCCUAACGCACAAUUACAGCACAUUUUUGUACAGAAUGUUGCAGAAAAAACAAAAUGGAGAAAAGCUACUACUGCUGCUAGGAAGGAGCAUUUCUGGAUACAGUGAGAAGAUAGGAAAGUUUAACAGAACAAUCUGCUGUCCAAACACUGCUGCUUUUAACAUUUUAUUUGAAAAGAAAGCCAGGAAAACCUGCUCAUUACAAAAAUGACUCUGAUCAGAUGCAAAGGACUCAUCCUACAAGAGGAACUGGCUGUGAGGAACUGAUUUAUAAAGAAGAUGGUCUAGGUUCCCUCCUCCCACACCCCAGAAUCUUUGACAGCGAUUGUUUGAACAGGCUGUUUCUUUAAAAAAAAAAAGUGACUUAUCACGCUACUCCAAAACGUGCAUAGCUUGGUACUCGAGUUCUUCAGAGAUUUAUGCACAGAGUAGCAACAAUAAAUGAAUACAGCGACAAUGGUUACAGUUUUUAAACAGGUUAUUUCUUCAAAGAAAAAACAUCUAAGGACUUAGUCCAAUAUGCACUUUUUAGCAUUUCUACAGCAUGCGAUUCUAAGAGUAAACCCACCCAAUAUGGCAAACAAUCAAAAAA